AUUGAACGCUGGCGGCAUGCCUAACACAUGCAAGUCGAGCGAGCGGCGGACGGGUGAGUAAUGUCUGGGAAACUGCCUGAUGGAGGGGGAUAACUACUGGAAACGGUAGCUAAUACCGCAUACCAUCAGAUGUGCCCAGAUGGGAUUAGCUAGUAGGUGGGGUAAUGGCUCACCUAGGCGACGAUCCCUAGCUGGUCUGAGAGGAGGACCAGCCACACGGGAACUGUGACACGGUCCAGACUCCUACGGGAGGCAGCAGUGGGGAAUAUUGCACAAGGGGCGCAAGCAUGAUGCGGCCAUGCGGGGUGUGUGAAGAAGGCCUUCGGGUUGUAAAGCACGUUCAGCGGGGAGGCGUUACCCGCAGAAGAAGCACCGGCUAACUCCGUGCCAGCCGCCGCGGUAAUAC
rnacentral:rRNA from 1 species